AUUGAACGCUGGCGGCAGGCCUAACACAUGCAAGUCGAACGAGUGGCGGACGGGUGAGUAAUGUCUGGGAAACUGCCUGAUGGAGGGGGAUAACUACUGGAAAAGGUAGCUAAUACCGCAUACCAUCAGAUGUGCCCAGAUGGGAUGAGCUAGUUGGUGGGGUAACGGCGCACCAAGGCGACGCUCCCUAGCUGGUCUGAGGGGAUGACAAAGCACACCGGAACUGAGACACGGGCCAGACUCCUACGGGAGGGAGGAGUGGGGAAGAUUGCACAAUGGGCGCAAGCCUGAUGCAGCCAUGCCGCGUGGAUGAAGAAGGCCUUCGGGUUGGAAAGUACUUUCAGCGGGGAGGCGUUACCCGCAGAAGAAGCACCGGCUAACUCCGUGCCAGCAGCCGCGGUAAUUC
rnacentral:rRNA from 1 species